rnacentral:rRNA from 1 species
GACGAACGCUGGCGGCGUGCCUAAUACAUGCAAGUCGAACGCAGUGGGGACGGGUGAGUAACACGUGGGUAACCUCCCAUCAGAGGGGAUAACACUUGGAAACAGGUGCUAAACCGAUACUGAUGGAUGGACCCGCGGUGCAUUAGCUAGUUGGUGAGGUAACGGCUCACCAAGGCCACGAGGCAUAGCCGACCUGAGAGGGUGAUCGGCCACACGGGGACUGAGACACGGCCCAGACGCCUACGGGAGGAAGGAGUAGGGAAGCGUCGGCAAUGGACGAAAGCCUGACCGAGUGACGCCGCGUGAGUGAAUAAGGUUUUAGGAUCGUAAGACUCUGUUGUUAGAGAAGCGGUAGCUAACCAGAAAGCCACGGCUAACUACGUGCCAGCAGCCGCGGUAAUAC